ACGAACGCUGGCGGCGUGCUUAACACAUGCAAGUCGAACGAGUGUGUCCCUUCGGGGGCAUCACGAGUGGCGAACGGGUGAGUAACACGUGAGCAACCUGCCCUUGACAUCGGAAUAACAGCUGGAAACAGCUGCUAAUACCGGAUACGACCUCGAUCGACAUCGGACGAGGUGGAAAGCUCCGGCGGUCAGGGAUGGGCUCGCGGCCUAUCAGCUUGUUGGUGAGGUAACGGCUCACCAAGGCUUCGACGGGUAGCCGGCCUGAGAGGGCGACCGGCCACACUGGGACUGAGAUACGGCCCAGACUCCUACGGGAGGCAGCAGUGGGGAAUAUUGCACAAUGGGCGCAAGCCUGAUGCAGCAACGCCGCGUGCGGGAUGACGGCCUUCGGGUUGUAAACCGCUUUCAGCUUCGACGAAGCGCAAGUGACGGUAGAAGCAGAAGAAGGACCGGCCAACUACGUGCCAGCAGCCGCAGUAAAAC
rnacentral:rRNA from 1 species